rnacentral:lncRNA from 1 species
AAUCAGAAAUGGAUUCGAAUUGUCUUGACUCUCAGUAUAAAGGGACUCUAGUCUCCCCCUCUCCAUCUCAACCUAACCUCAAACCUCACCUUAUCAGUUAUCAUGCAGUUAUCGCACUUACUUACUUUUCACAACACAACUUUCAACACGAAACUCGACCUGCACCUGCUUUUUUAAAAUUCUCCACUUUGUUUUGCGGUAAAUAAUAAGUUUGAAGUAUCCAGAAUUUAAUUAUAUAAAUAAAUAAUUAUACGCAGAAGUAGAAAAUGUCAGAUGAUAUUUCAACCAUCAUAGUCAUAACUCGGAUGAAGCUUCCUGGAAAUGAAAGUGACAUAGAUUCAUCUGACGAUAUAUUUCGGCCAACAAAGAAGGGAGCACAGAAACCAUCAAUUUUGGAACCUAUUGCUGCAACUGAUGGCAAAACAUCAAAAAAACCACCAUCAAGUCAUUUCAGUUGUAAUUCUAGUGAAGCUCACUUGAUAGACAAGAGGAGCUGCACUCGUCCCAAACGUAAUUUUCACAAUGAAAGUUCCAAAUUUUUAUGUGCUUACUGUGCAACUUCCUACUCUUCCAAACUAAGUCUUGACCGUCAUGAAUAUAAGUGCCAAACAAGUGCUGGUGUAAGGGCCAAAUUUUUAUGUGUAUACUGUGCAGAUUCCUUUGCCAGCAGAUGGAGUUGUCGCCGUCAUGAAAAUAAUUGCAUUGCUAAUCCCAGUAAAAACCUCAAAAAAUUUAUGUGUGCUCAAUGCAAUGCAUCGUUCAAGAGAAAAGAAGCUGUAGCCAAGCAUCUACAGACAUGUACAUCUGUAACUUCAAAACCUCAGGAGGGAAGAAAUAAAGUCCCUUGUUUAAUAAAAGAGUGUGGUGAAAAGUUUUACCAUAAAACUAAGUUGAUUGAUCAUAUGCGUUUAGCUCAUCACGACGUAAUCACCAUCCAGCCCAAAAUAUCGAAAACUUUCCCAUCGAUAAAAGAGUUCAGCGUAUGGAAGGAAGAAGAAGAGGAAAACACAUUUUCCUAUUUCACUGCUCGCGGAGGGCAAAAACUGAAGAGCGCUGUGAAAUUAUUAUUGUCAACAUGAUGGCUCUGAAAAAAAUCAUGCUGAGCGAUUGUCAAGUCGACGCCGUAAGAAAGGAAGAGUGAAAGUAGGACAUCAGUGCAUAGCUUUUAUGAGAGUGAAGGAGUCUGAGAACAAAUCUAUUCAUGUUGAUUACCAUCCAACCCAUAGCCAUGUUUGUAAGCAAGAAGAUAUGUUACAUCAUCCCAUACCAGCUGUCAUGUCUAAAUUCAUAAAUGAUAAACUUGCAGAAAACUUACCACCAGACAUAGUCUACGAACUCACAAAAGAACGUUUUCUCUCCAAUCAUAACCCUGCUGUACCCUCUAGAGCAGGUAAUCUUACCAGGAAAUUGAUCAAGGAGCGAAGACGGAAAAUGCUUAAGAAGCGUCAAUCACUUGAAGACAAUGCUGAAGAUUUUCCUUCCAGUGAUGAAAAUUUUUAUAAUUUUGAAAGGGGCAUAAUUAGUGAAGAAUCUGAGGAACAGCAAAUCUUCCUCCACAAGCCAAUCUCUGUACAACCUAAUCUCAAGAAGAAAGCAGUUUCAGAUCAAGGACAGAGACACCGAAUGAAAAGGCAACAAGACAUGAAUGAUGUCAAAGCACUUGCUCCUGUUAACGAGAAUUUUUACAACUUCCAGACAAAUAAUUUUAUAGAUAAUGUUGCUGGUGAGAUUUUGGUUAGUCCUACCAGUAGUACAAAGGGCCUUUUCGAAGGAAUAAAGAGCAAGUUAUCUCGUCUUCAACAGCUCUUAGGUACAGUUGACAUUAACCGUAUACCUGAGCACACCCUCACCAAUAUGGAUACAGUAUUAUCAGAUUUUAUAAGCCAUUUGUCUGAAAAUCAUCAUGAAAAAGCUGAGAAAGUACAGGAUGUAGAUCAUUUGUACUGCUCCGCCAAAUCUAAUUUUUUUUCAUGAAAAGCUUCUGUAUAGAUUCUCAGGUAAGGAGACCAUAACUUUAUCACUAUUACGGAUAGUGAAUUUUUGAAAAAUAAUCAUAAUCCGAGGAUUAUUGGACUUUUUACCAGAAAUUAUUACAGUUCAUUCAUUCACAGUGAAAAUUUAUCUCUUCAAUUUUUGUGUCCGAGAUAAUAAAAAAUCCCUCAAAUUAAAUUAUUGCUGCUGAAGCUUUCAAAAUUAGACAGAAUUUUUAAAAAAUUGGUUUGAUUUCAUUUGUCAGCAGAAAACUUGAAUUUCGAUUGUAUAUUGGUCCCAAUAAUUUGUUGCCAUUUUCCUGAUUAUUUGUGCCAACCAAUCAAUUUG